UUAACUUUUGAAUGUGCGAACCAAAAAGCCCCUGACUCAGAAGUAUUUCCUGUACAGACCUGAUGUCGCGACACUAUAAUGCUUGUGUCGUGACGUCGAAGGCAGUGUGCUCAGGUUCAGGGUAACUUCAGGGGUGUGUCGCGACAUCCCAUAGCUGUGUCGUGACAUCGAAGGCUAUCUCAAGAUUCCUGCAUUCUAUUCCCUAUGUUGCGACAUUAAACUUCCUGUGUUGCAACAUAGCGAUCAAUAUUGAGUUUAUACGCUCUCAAAUGGUCUCUUGCA
rnacentral:lncRNA from 1 species